AGAGUUUGAUCCUGGCUCAGGAUGAACGCUAGCUACAGGCUUAACACAUGCAAGUCGAGGGGCAGCAUCAUCAAAGCUUGCUUUGAUGGAUGGCGACCGGCGCACGGGUGAGUAACACGUAUCCAACCUGCCGACAACUCUGGGAUAGCCUUUCGAAAGAAAGAUUAAUACCGGAUGGCAUAGUUUUUCCGCAUGGGAUGAUUAUUAAAGAAUUUCGGUUGUCGAUGGGGAUGCGUUCCAUUAGGCAGUUGGCGGGGUAACGGCCCACCAAACCAACGAUGGAUAGGGGUUCUGAGAGGAAGGUCCCCCACAUUGGAACUGAGACACGGUCCAAACUCCUACGGGAGGCAGCAGUGAGGAAUAUUGGUCAAUGGACGAGAGUCUGAACCAGCCAAGUAGCGUGAAGGAUGACUGCCCUAUGGGUUGUAAACUUCUUUUAUAUGGGAAUAAAGUGAGCCACGUGUGGCUUUUUGUAUGUACCGUAUGAAUAAGGAUCGGCUAACUCCGUGCCAGCAGCCGCGGUAAUACGGAGGAUCCGAGCGUUAUCCGGAUUUAUUGGGUUUAAAGGGAGCGUAGGCGGGUUGUUAAGUCAGUUGUGAAAGUUUGCGGCUCAACCGUAAAAUUGCAGUUGAUACUGGCGACCUUGAGUGCAACAGAGGUAGGCGGAAUUCGUGGUGUAGCGGUGAAAUGCUUAGAUAUCACGAAGAACUCCGAUUGCGAAGGCAGCUUACUGGAUUGUAACUGACGCUGAUGCUCGAAAGUGUGGGUAUCAAACAGGAUUAGAUACCCUGGUAGUCCACACAGUAAACGAUGAAUACUCGCUG
rnacentral:rRNA from 1 species